rnacentral:rRNA from 1 species
AGCUUCACGAAGUCGGGUUGCAGACUUCGAUCCGAACUGAGAGAGGCUUUUGGGAUUAGCAUCCUGUCACCAGGUAGCUGCCUUCUGUACCCCCCAUUGUAACACGUGUGUAGCCCCGGACGUAAGGGCCGUGCUGAUUUGACGUCAUCCCCACCUUCCUCACAUCUUACGACGGCAGUCUCUCUAGAGUCCUCAGCAUGACCUGUUAGUAACUAAAGAUAAGGGUUGCGCUCGUUAUGGCACUUAAGCCGACACCUCACGGCACGAGCUGACGACAACCAUGCAGCACCUUCACAUUUGCCUUGCGGCUAACCUGUUUCCAGAUUAUUCAAAUGCAAUUUAAGCCCGGGUAAGGUUCCUCGCGUAUCAUCGAAUUAAACCACAUGUUCCUCCGCUUGUGCGGGCCCCCGUCAAUUCCUUUGAGUUUCACCGUUGCCGGCGUACUCCCCAGGUGGAAUACUUAAUGCUUUCGCUUGGCCGCUUACUGUAUAUCGCAAACAGCGAGUAUUCAUCGUUUACUGUGUGGACUACCAGGGUAUCUAAUCCUGUUUGAUACCCACACUUUCGAGCAUCAGUGUCAGUUGCAGUCCAGUGAGCUGCCUUCGCAAUCGGAGUUCUUCGUGAUAUCUAAGCAUUUCACCGCUACACCACGAAUUCCGCCCACCUCUACUGUACUCAAGACAGCCAGUAUCAACUGCAAUUUUACGGUUGAGCCGCAAACUUUCACAACUGACUUAACUGUCCACCUACGCUCCCUUUAAACCCAAUAAAUCCGGAUAACGCUCGGAUCCUCCGUAUUACCGCGGCUGCUGGCACGGAGUUAGCCGAUCCUUAUUCAUAUGGUACAUACAAAAUUCCACACGUGGAAAACUUUAUUCCCAUAUAAAAGAAGUUUACAACCCAUAGGGCAGUCAUCCUUCACGCUACUUGGCUGGUUCAGGCCUGCGCCCAUUGACCAAUAUUCCUCACUGCUGCCUCCCGUAGGAGUUUGGACCGUGUCUCAGUUCCAAUGUGGGGGACCUUCCUCUCAGAACCCCUAUCCAUCGAAGGUUUGGUGAGCCGUUACCUCACCAACUGCCUAAUGGAACGCAUCCCCAUCGAUAACCGAAAUUC